GGUGUCUGUGCCGCUGCUGAAGACGCUGGACCACGUGCUCACCCACGGCUGCUUCGACAUCUUCACCACGGAGGAGGACCACCCCUUUGCUGUGAAGUUGCUUGCGCUUUGUAAGAAAGAAAUCAAGAAUUCAAAAGACGUCCAGAAACUCCUGUCAGGCAUUGCAGUGUUCUGCGGGAUGGUGCAGUUCCCCGGCGAUGUGAGGAGGAAGGCCCUCCUGCAGCUGUGUCUGCUCCUCUGCCACCGCUUCCCACUGAUCCGGAAGACUACGGCCAGCCAGGUGUACGAGACAUUGCUCACCUACAGUGACAUCGUGGGCGCGGACGUGCUGGACGAGGUGGUGACUGUGCUCAGUGACACCGCGUGGGACGCGGAGCUUGCAGUGGUGAGAAAGCAGCGCAACCGUCUGUGUGACCUCCUGGGCGUGCCCAGGCCCCAGCUGGUGCCCCAGCCUGGUGCCUGCUGAAGCCAGUCCUGGAGCCCAUACCGGAGCCCAUACCUCACCCUGCUUGGUGAGGAUGUCUUGUUCCUGAAGGAGGCCGGUGUGGAAAGCCUGGCACAGUGGUGCCUCCAGCUGUUGAAGGG
rnacentral:sRNA from 1 species